GACGAACGCUGGCGGCGUGCUUAACACAUGCAAGUCGAACGGAAAGGCCCUGCUGUUGUGGGGUGCUCGAGUGGCGAACGGGUGAGUAACACGUGAGUAACCUGCCCUUGACUUUGGGAUAACUUCAGGAAACUGGGGCUAAUACCGGAUAGGAGCUCCUGCUGCAUGGUGGGGGUUGGAAAGAUUCGGCGGUUGGGGAUGGACUCGCGGCUUAACAGCUUGUUGGUGGAGUAGUGGCUUACCAAGGCUUUGACGGGUAGUCUGCAUUAGAGGGUGACCGGCUUCCUUACGACUGAGAUACGGCCCAGACUCCUACGGAGAGCAGCAGUCGCGAAUAUUGCACAAUGCACCGAGGCCUUCUGCAGCAACACCGCGUGCUGAAUCACAGCCUUCGCGUUGUAAGCCGCUUUCGCCUGUGACAAUGCGUGAGUGACGGUAAUCCAUAAAGAAGCACCUGCUAACUACGUG
rnacentral:rRNA from 1 species